AGUAUAAUAAAACGCGUGACCUGGAAGAGGAAUUAGGGUUCUGUAACCUUUCACAUUCACGCAGGAAGCCCCUUUCUCCUCAUUGAACGGCGCCGUUCUUCAAGAUCGCUCUGGAAAACGCAAGGCGCAUCUCUCCGUCUUUGUUCUGCGUGAAUCGCCGUCGUUACCUUCCAUACAGCCACCGCCGUUCAUUAUCGCCUCACCACCACAACAACCGCAACAAUCUGAAGCCGACCAUGCGUUACCACCGACCGCUCAGCCUUCUUCACUUUACCGCUGCCGAAGUUUAUAGAUCUCAGGUGUUAGCUUUUCGUACUUUGCAUCUUAUUGAUUGUUGCUUUGUGUUGUAGAUUAUAACUAGAUGAAUAGGAAAUAGAGAGAAAUUUCUCUUGUUUUGCUGAUUGAAAAGAAUGCAUUUUUUGGGAAUAAAAUGUUUUUUGUUAUGCUUUUAUGUGAAGACAAGGAAAAUGACUCUAGUAUGUGUGGUUUGACACAGAUUCAAGGUUUCAAAUAAAGUAUGUGUGGUUUGACACAGAUUCAAGCUUCAAAUAAAGUAUGUGCGUCUGAAAACGAAUUCAACUAUUUAGGUUUCGAUGUAUUCUGUAAUGUAAAGAUGGAUAAUGUUAGAUAGGUCAAUAAUAACCAGCAUACUCAUAGAGAUGCAUUUAACGAUUUUGUUCUUGAAAAGAGCAUUGGCGGAGCCUAUGGAGAUGAGGAAUAUAAUUCCAGUGGUUCAGAUGUUGGAAGAACUGGAAGUAGGCUCAUUGUCGGCGUUGCAGAGACCUUAUCCGAGCAAAGAAAUGGUUUCAGCCUGAAACAUGAUUUUUUUUAAUCACGGAGCACCAAAACAUAAGGAACACUGCCAUGUCAAGGAACUGGAAAAUUGAGAGGAAGAGGAGUUUGUGUGGGAUGAGAUGAACCCUGGUUUGCCCGAACAUGUACCCUUGUCUUCAUAAUCUAACUUCUUUGUGCUUUGAAAUUGAUAAGGUUUUGUUCCUGUUUUGCUGAAGCGGUAAUAUUGUUUCUUUCUCCCUUUAUAAUAACUGCUAUGUCUUCUUAGUUCUGUCAAUAUUCCUUCUAGAACCAUCGAUCGAAUUCUGUUAGAAAUUCGGACAACCCAAACCCAACCCAAAUAGAAACCGAUUGAGUUUGAUACAAACUGGAAAAAAAAUGGUGAACUACAUGCUGAUGAUCAAUGCUGAACUCGAGAAUUUGACCAUUAUAUUGAAUUCUUCAAGGUAUUACAAUAUCUUUUUUAUUUUCUUCAACAUGCUUUUUUCUUCCUCUCUAUUUUAAUAUUAAUUUCUUUAUCUUUGUGAUGAUGACGAUGAUAGUUGAAAUGUGGAAGAUGUGGUGAAUUGAUCCAAAAAGAAACUUGUGUGUCUUUGAAUGAUACUGUUCCUCUUCCAGGUUACUACAAUAUAUGAGUAAAUAUUCACUAAAUGUCCUGUUAUAGAGUCUUUGUUAUGUCUGCCUUUAUUCAAAUGUGUAGGUCCUUUCAACAAAUUUUUAUGCUCUUGAAAUUAGUGUAUGUUAAGUUGGUGUUGGUACAAUUUCUAGUUUUGUAAUGGAGUUAUCAAGUCUUACUAUUUUUAUGCUCUCUUUUACUGUUUGGUUAGUUCAUAUAUUGUUAAACUCGUUUUAUGCUUAAUAGCUUUUUUGUAGGUUAGCAACUUAGCAUGCUUCUACUCAAUUCUUUUAGAAUUAGUGAUAAUCUUUCUAUAAAAUAACAUUCAAUUCUUUUGGUUGAAUGCAUGCACUUUUUGCUUCGCUGCUCCCUUUUAAAAGAGGUUUCACACUUAUAUGUUAUUAUAUAUUUGACCAGCCUGACUUUUCUCUAUGGAUGUAGGUCAAGUACAAAUGAAGAGGAAAUAUUUGAAGUGCAGGAUACACGAUCACUUUUCCCCCUUCAACAUGAAGAGUCAGUCCUAUGUAAGAGACUAAUAAGUAAGAUGGCUGAGAUUAGUAUUUAGAAAAUGAGGAAAGAUUUGACGCAAAGAGGGCAUGUACAACCACUUGUUUGGAUUAACCAGAAAUAUUGCAUAUCUCGAAAGGCUGGUUUAUUGAAGUAUAAAAUGGAGAAUGAUAUCCAUCAUCUGAUCCAACAAAGAAAGAAGGAUAUUAAGAAAUCCAGGAAAAAGAUUACCAAAUUUGUGAUAGAGAUUGGACGUUUGAGGAAUCAUCUUAAUAGGAACGAUGUUUCCAACAAAAGAAAAGGUCACAUAAGAAAAUAAGUUGCACAAAAAAUUCGACGCAAAUAAGGCAUGUACAACCACUUGUUUGGAUUAACUAGAAAUAUUGAAUAUCUCGAAAGGCUGGUUUAUUAUUGGAAAAAAAUGGACAAUGAGAUCCAUCAUCUGAUCCAACAAAGAAAAAAGGAUCUUAAGAAAUCCAGGAAAAAUAUUACCAAAUUUGUGAUUAAGAUUGAGCGUUUGAGGAAUCUCCUUAAUAGGAAAGAUGUUUCCAACAAAAGAAAAGCUCACAUAAGAAAAGAACUUGCAGUCAAGAUUCGACACAAAGAAGGCAUCUACAACCACUUUUUUGGAUUAACUAGAAAUAUUGCAAAUCUCGAAAGGCUGGUUUAUUGUAGGAAAAAAUGGAGAAUGAGAUCCAUCAUCUGAUCCAACAAAGAAAAAACGAUAUUAAGAAAUCCAGGAAAAAGCUUACCAAAUUUGUGAUUGAGAUUGAGCGUUUGAGGAAUCUCCUUAAUAUGAACGAUGUUUCCAACAAAAUUAAAGCUCUCAUAAGAAAAGAACUUGCAGGCAAGAUUCGACGCAAAGAAGGCAUGUACAACCACUGCUUUGGAUUAACCAGAAAUAUUGCAAAUCUCGAAAGGCUGGUUUAUUGUAGGAAAAAAUGGAGAAUGAGAUCCAUCAUCUAAUCCAGCAAAGAAAGAAGGAUCUUAAGAAAUCCAGGAAAAGGCUUGCAAAAUUAGUGAUUGAGAUUGAGCGUUUGAGGAAUCUCCUUAAUAGGAACGAUGUUUCCAACAAAAGAAAAGCUCAAAUAAGAAAAUAACUUUAAGGAAAGAUUCGACGCAAAGAAGGCAUGUACAACAACUUGUUUGGAUUAACCAGAAAUAUUGAAUAUCUCGAAAGGCUGGUGUAUUGUAGGAAAAAAUGGAGAAUGAGAUCCAUCAUCUGAUCCAACAAAGAAAGAAGGAUCUUAAGAAAUCUAGGAAAAAUAUUACCAAAUUUGUGAUUGAGAUUGAACGUUUAAGGAAUCUCCUUAGUAGGACCGAUGUUUCCAACAAAAGAAAAGCUCACAUAAGAUAAUAAAAUAAAAGUUAACUUAAGUUGAAGCUUAGUUAUUUUUAAUUAUUAACAGUUUUUUUGUUUAUUAAACAGAAAAUAACUUGCUGGAAAGAUUCGAUGCAAAGAAGGCAUGUACAACCACUUGUAUGGAUUAACCAGAAAUAUUGCAUAUCUCGAAAGGCUGGUUUAUUGUAGGAAAAAAUGGAGAAUGAGAUCCAUCAUAUCAUCCAAAAAAGAAAAAACGAUCUUAAGAAUUUCAGGAAAAAUCAUACCAAAUUUGUGAUUGAGAUUGAGCGUUUGAGGAAUUUCCUUAAUAGGAAAGAUGUUUCCAACAAAAGAAAAGCCUACAUAAGAAAAGAACUUGCAGUCAAGAUUAGACGCAAAGAAGGCACCUGCAACCACUGUUUUGGAUUAACCAAAAAUGUUGCAAAUCUCGAAAGGCUGGUUUAUUGUAGGAAAAAAAUUGUGAAUGAGAUCCAUCAUCUGAUCCAAAAAAGAAAGAAAGAUCUUAAGAAAUCCAGGAAAAAGCUUACCAAAUUUGUGAUUGAGAUUGAGCGUUUGAGGAAUCUCCUUAAUAGGAACGACGUUUCCAACAAUAGAAAAGCUCACGGAAGAAAAGAACCUGCAAGCAAGAUUCGAUGCAAAGAAGGCAUGUACAACCACUGCUUUGGAUUAACUAGAAAUAUUAGAAAUCUCGAAAGGCUGGUUUAUUGUAGGAAAAAAUGGAGAAUGAGAUCCAUCAUCUGAUCCAACAAGAAGAGGAGGAUCUUAAGAAAUCCAAGAAAAAGCUUACCAAAUUUGUGAUUGAGAUUGAGCGUUUGAGGAAUCUCCUUAAUAGGAACGAUGUUUCCAACAAAAGAAAAGCUCACAUAAGAAAAUAACUUGCAAGAAAGAUUCGACGCAAAGAAGGCAUGUACAACCACUUGUUUGGAUUAACCAGAAAUAUUGCAUAUCUCGAAAGGCUGGUUUAUUGUAGGAAAAAAUGGAGAAUGAGAUUCAUCAUAUGAUCCAACAAAUAAAAAAGGAUCUUAAUAAAUCCAGGAAAAAUAUUACUUUAUUUGUGAUAGAGAUUGAGCGUUUGAGGAAUCUCCUUAAUAGGAACGAUGUUUCCAACAAAACAAAAGCUCAUAUAAAGUAAUAAAAUAAAAAAUAACUAAAUUUGAAGCUUAGUUAUUUUCAAUUAUUAACAGUGUUUUUGUUUAUUAACAGUGUUUUGGUAUACACCUUUUGAUCCAGUUUCGUGAGAUUUGUUUUUUCAAUCGAUUCUUUAUUUUCAGGUUCUGUUCAUUUCUGCU